CAGCCGCCGCGGUAAUACGAAGGGUGCAAGCGUUAAUCGGAAUUACUGGGCGUAAAGCGUGCGUAGGCGGUUUGUUAAGUCUGCUGUGAAAUCCCCGGGCUCAACCUGGGAAUGGCAGUGGAUACUGGCAAGCUAGAGUGUGUCAGAGGAUGGUGGAAUUCCCGGUGUAGCGGUGAAAUGCGUAGAGAUCGGGAGGAACAUCAGUGGCGAAGGCGGCCAUCUGGGACAACACUGACGCUGAUGCACGAAAGCGUGGGGAGCAAACAGGAUUAGAUACCCGUGUAGUCCCUGUCUCUUAUAC
rnacentral:rRNA from 1 species